GAAUCGGCAAACAGGAUCAGAAGUGAUUACAAACAUAUUGACUGAGCUAUUCACAACAACAACAGCUGAUGAAAAGGAUUUUUCCUGCAUCUAAGCAUGCCCUGUUUGUUUUUAAAUAUUUGCAAAGACUAAAGCUAGCCAAACACCCACUGUCUAUUUAAAACCUACACGACCCAUCUGCAGAAUGGAUGCAUCUGUUGUCCUGGCUAUGUACCAUUUGGGGUCACCCAUCUCAAAAAAGGAAUGCUGAUCUAGUGGAUAGGAGUCCAGUGGCACCUUAAAGACUGUUAAAGACUAACAGAUUUAUUUGGGCAUAAACUUUUGUGGGUAAAAAAUGCCACUUCAGCUGCAUGGAAUGAAAAUUACAGAUACAGGCAUAUAUACUGACACAUGAAGAGAAGAGAAGGGGGUUACCUUACAAGUGGAGAACCAGUGUUGACAGGGCCAAUUCAAUCAGGGUGGAUGUGGUCUACUACCAAUAAUUGUUGAGGAGGUCUCUAUACCAAGAGAGGAAAAAUUGCUUUUGUAAUGAGCCAGCCUCUCCGAAUCCCUUUUCAAGCCCAAAUUAAAGGUGUUAAAUUUGCAAA